CGGUUAAGUUAUUAAGGGCGCAUGGUGAAUGCCUUGGCACUAGGAGCCGAUGAAGGACGGGACUAACACCGAUAUGCCUCGGGGAGCUGUAAGUAAGCUGUGAUCCGGGGAUUUCCGAAUGGGGGAACCCAACUUGUCAUGCAAGUUAUCGUUUAAUGAAUACAUAGUUAAACGAAGGUAGACGUUGUGAACUGAAACAUCUCAUUAGCAACAGGAGAAGAAAGAAAAAUCGAUUCCGUCAGUAGCGGCGAGCGAACGCGGAGGAGCCCAAACCAGAGUGCUUGCACUCUGGGGUUGUAGGACUACCGUUGUGGAGUUACAAAUUUGUUUAUUAGCAGAAUCAGCUGGGAAGCUGAGCGAAACAGGGUGAUAGCCCCGUAUGCGAAAGUAAGCAAACUCCCGUGUAGGAUCCUGAGUACGGCCGGACACGUGAAAUCCGGUCGGAAACUGCGAGGACCAUCUCGUAAGGCUAAAUACUCCCUAGUGACCGAUAGUGAACCAGUACCGUGAGGGAAAGGUGAAAAGCACCCCGGAAGGGGAGUGAAAAAGUUCCUGAAACCAUGUGCCUACAACAAGUUAGAGCCCGUUAAUGGGUGAUAGCGUGCCUUUUGUAGAAUGAACCGGCGAGUUACGAUACCAUGCAAGGUUAAGGUGGAAAGACCGGAGCCGUAGCGAAAGCGAGUCUGAAAUGGGCGUUUUAGUAUGUUGUUGUAGACCCGAAACCAGGUGACCUACCCAUGUCCAGGGUGAAGGUGCGGUAAAACGCACUGGAGGCCCGAACCCGUACAUGUUGAAAAAUGUUGGGAUGAGGUGUGGGUAGCGGUGAAAUUCCAAUCGAACUUGGAGAUAGCUGGUUCUCUCCGA
rnacentral:rRNA from 1 species